rnacentral:rRNA from 1 species
UACGGAGGGGGCGAGCGUUAUUCGGAAUUAUUGGGCGUAAAGGGCGCGUAGGCGGCUGAACAAGUCAAAGGUGAAAUCCCUCGGCUCAACUGAGGAACUGCCUUUGAAACUGUUCGGCUUGAGGCCGGGAGGGGGUAGCGGAAUUCCCAGUGUAGCGGUGAAAUGCGUAGAUAUUGGGAAGAACACCGGUGGCGAAGGCGGCGCUCUGGACCGAGACUGACGCUGAGGCGCGAAAGCGUGGGGAGCAAACAGG